GCUUUGGACCGGGGGCGGUACCCGGCGCCUCCACCAAAAUAUAAUUUGUUUUUUUAUAUUUUAGUGGGGGCGAAACAGGAUCGACAAAAGUGUAAAGAUUGCUCUUUUACUCGGUAUAGUACCACCGUUAUCGGACUAAAUGAGUAGUUGCAAAUGACAACUAUGCGGAAGCACGUCUCGCUGCCUGAGGUGGUGUGAAUGCUUCAAACUAAGUCUUAAACCGUCGCAGGUUUAGGGGGGUUUCAAAGGCACCUGGCAAACAGAAGCCAAA
rnacentral:tmRNA from 1 species